rnacentral:rRNA from 1 species
UACGGGGGGAGCAAGCGUUGUUCGGAAUUACUGGGCGUAAAGCGCGUGUAGGCGGCUCUUCAAGUCAGACGUGAAAGCCCCAGGCUCAACCUGGGAACUGCGUUUGAUACUGUCGAGCUAGAGUGUGGAAGGGGCGAUUGGAAUUCCGUGUGUAGCGGUGAAAUGCGUAGAUAUACGGAGGAACACCAGAGGCGAAGGCGGAUCGCUGGGCCAACACUGACGCUGAGACGCGAAAGCUAGGGUAGCAAACGGG